rnacentral:rRNA from 1 species
AGGACUAACGCUGGCGGCGUGCCUAACACAUGCAAGUCGAACGAGGGGUAGCAAUACCCCUAGUGGCAGACGGGUGAGUAACACGUAGUCAACCUACCUCUUAAUGGGGGAUAACUAGCCGAAAGGUUAGCUAAUACCGCAUACGAUCGUCGAGUGGCAUCACACGACGAUGAAAAGAGCAAUCCGUUGAGAGAGGGGACUGCGUCCCAUUAGUUAGUUGGUGGGGUGAUGGCCUACCAAGACUCCGAUGGGUAGCUGGCUUGAGAGAGCGACCAGCCACACUGGAACUGAGACACGGUCCAGACUCCUACGGGAGGCAGCAGUGAGGAAUUUUCCGCAAUGGGGGAAACCCUGACGGAGCGACGCCGCGUGUGGGAAGAAGGCCUUCGGGUCGUAAACCACUGUCGAGGGGGACGAUAUUGACGGUACCCCUGGAGGAAGCCCCGGCUAACUACGCGCCAGCAGCCGC